UGAAAGCAUACGCUGCAGCUAGCUAGCACUGCAGUGCAUACAAUGUGGUGAGUGGUUGACUCAAAGAGAGAGAAAGACAAUAGUUGAACAGUUUUGAACAAAUACAUUUCUUCCAAAAUUAAGGAGAAGCAAGAGAGAGAGAAGUAGCUAUAUUUUUUUUUUUUUUUACUUUCACUUUCACUUAGCUAGCUGAAUGCAGCUAGCUAGCUUAACCUACUCCAACACCUGGCUCAAACAGAGGGAUGCUAUGUUAGCUAGCUGGCUAUGGCUAUCCAACACUGGAACUCUUCCAAGUCAAGAGGGAGCGGGAUCUUUGCGUCACGUGCCUAGGGACAAGACCUGUGAACUACCUGCCCUCCAGGACACCUACAGCACCCGGUGUCACAGGAAUGCCAAAAAGAUCAUCAAGGACAACAACCACCUGAGCCACUGCCUGUUCACCCCGCUACCAUUCAGAAUGCGAGGUCAUUACAGGUGCAUCAAAGCUGGGACCGAGAGACUGAAAAAUAGCUUCUAUCUCAAGGUCAUCAGACUGUUAAACAGCCAUCACUAACACAGUGAGGCUGCUGCCUACAUACAGACUUGAAAUCAUUGGCCACUUUAAUAAAUGGAUCACUAGUCACUUUAAUAAUGCCACUUUAAUAAUGUUUACAUAUCUUGCAUUACUCAUCUCAUAUGAAUAUACUGUAUUUUAUACCAUCUAUUGCAUCUUGCCUGUGCCGCUCAGUCAUUGCUCAUCCAUAUAUGUAUAUGUACAUAUUCUUAUGCUAUUCCUUUACUUAGAUUUGUGUGUAUUAGGUAGUUAUUGUGGAAUUGUUAGAUUACUUGUUAGAUAUCGCUGCACUGUCGG
rnacentral:lncRNA from 1 species